rnacentral:lncRNA from 1 species
AAAAUAUUUUUUAAAAAAGGAAUUCAGUUUGGAAAUAUUUCUAGAUAUUUCAUCAUUAUUGCUAUUUACCGUGCAGCCCAAGGUCUCCUCAGCAACACUUCCUGUGAGACUACAGGAAUGGAGGGUACCUGUGUGGUCAGUAAGAUCAACGAGCAUGUGGAAGCUGGGAAAAACAGAUCUAAAUCCUGAAGAACCUUUGUUGCAAGUUGUACAAGCAUUGGAUGCUUCAUUAACAACAUAACCACAGCUGGAACUGAAAAGAAACAAAGAUGAUGAUACAAUUUGAUGAUCCUAAGUGACAAAUUUGAACUCUAGAACUGUCCUUCAACGUGUGAGUCAGCAUGUGGAAUGAGCACUCGGUGCCAUGCAGGACCUGAGACAGGGGUGAGGAGCUUCCCAGGCACAAUUCCAAACUGAAUUCUUUUCCACCUGUGACCAUAGAGGCUGAGUCCACGUCCUCCCACUGUCUGCCCUCCUCCCUUCCCUCUACUGGGGUCCUGCCCAACCAGAGGUCCUACCAUCUCAUUGCCCCGGGGGGGGGACCUUCCUCUCCUGCACUCAGCCCACACUUGUCCCUUCUCAGGACAGCUGCAGUCUUGGGCUUAGGCUUCCACACUGACGUGUGCAGUCAUGUCCCUUCCUUGCUGUUGCAGGUGAGCUGAGGGCAGGAAUCCAGAAGGUGAUGUCUUCUGGAGUCAGACACAUACCCACACAGUGAUGGAAAUGUGCAGAACAGGCACACACACACAAAUGACCUCGUGGAAUCUGCACAAGCCUGAAUAUGACCAUGGCAUUGAAAGGACUUAGUCCUGGCUGUGGUGAGGUACAGUAGCUGGCAAAAUGUUUCCCCUGGGGGAACGCCAGACAAGGAUGUGAGAGAGCUCCCUGUAUUAUUUCUUACAAUUCCAUGUGAAUUGAGAGUUACUUCAAUAAAAAUUUGAAUUACAAAAAUCCACAGGGUACUUUCACAAUAACACUUUAGAUGUUUUUUGCCAAGCAUGGUCUGGUCACGAUUUCUUAAUCUUUUGGGGCUCACUGUCCAUGCAAGGAGAUAUGACCUUGACCUCAGAGAGAGGUCACACACUUCUGCAGUGGAGAAUCACAUUGCUACAGACAUGACAACCAGUUUUCUACUAACUUUAAGACAAGUCUGUUAUCCCAGCUAAAACUAUUACAUCUUUAUAUUUAAGGAUUGCAGAAAUACGGUAAUUUUAUUUUACUUUAAAAGUCAAUUAGGGCUGGGGAUGUGGCUCAAGCAGUAGCGCACUCGCCUGGC